CGAGGGUGCGAGCGUUGUCCGGAAUCACUGGGCGUAAAGGGCGCGUAGGCGGCCUGGUAAGUAGGGGGUGAAAUCCUGCGGCUUAACCGCAGGGCUGCCUUCUAAACUGUCAGGCUCGAGCACGGUAGAGGCAGAUGGAAUUCCCGGUGUAGCGGUGGAAUGCGUAGAGAUCGGGAAGAACAUCAGUGGCGAAGGCGGUCUGCUGGGCCGUUGCUGGCGCUGAGGCGCGACAGCGUGGGGGGCAAACAGGAUUAGAUACCCUGGUAGUCCACGCCGUAAACGAUGGGCACUAGGCGUCGGGGGGAGCGACCCUCCCGGUGCCGUCGCUAACGCAGUAAGUGCCCCGCCUGGGGAGUACGGCCGCAAGGCUG
rnacentral:rRNA from 1 species